rnacentral:rRNA from 1 species
GAUUUCUGGUUUAAUGCACCUGGCCCGCAGCCACUAGCUUGUGAGUGCCGGCACGCGUUUACCAUCCUUCUAGAAAACGAUUCUGCCAUUAACUUGGUUGGGAUCGCGAUCUAGAUCUUUUACUUUGAAAAAAUUAGAGUGUUUAAAAGCAUGGAAUAAUAAUCUAGGACUUCGGUUCUAUUUUGUUGGUUUCUAUAACUGAAGUAAUGAUUGAUAGGGAUAGUUGGGGGUGCUAGUAUUGGGCCAGAGGUGAAAUUCUUGGAUUCGGUCAAGACUAACUUAUGCGAAAGCAUU